GACGAAUGCUUGCGGCGUGCCUAAUACAUGCAUGUAGAAUGCAGUUGCGAACGGGUGAGUAACGCGUAGGUAACUGCCUCAUAGCGGGGGAUAACUAUUGGAAACGAUAGCUAAUACCGCAUACUGUGAGAUGGACCUGCGUUGUAUUAGAUAGUUGGUGAGGUAAAGGCUCACCAAGGCGAAGAUACAUAGCCGACCUGAGAGGGUGAUCGGCAAACCUGAGACUGAGACGCGGCCCAGACUCCUACGGGAGGCGGAAGUAGGAAAUGUGCGGAGAUUGACGGGAGUGUGACCGGGCAACGCCGCGUGAGUGAAGAAGGUUUUCGGAUCGAAGAGCUCUGUUGUUAGAGAAGCGGUGACUAGCCAGAAAGGGACGGCUAACUACAUGCCAGCAGCCGCGGUAAUUC
rnacentral:rRNA from 1 species